GAUGAACGCUGACAGAAUGCUUAACACAUGCAAGUCAACUUGAACUUCGGUUUGGGUGGCGGACGGGUGAGUAACGCGUAAAGAACUUGCCUCACAGAUAGGGACAACAUUUGGAAACGAAUGCUAAUACCUGAUAUUAUGAUUUUAGGGCAUCCUAGAAUUAUGAAAGCUAUAUGCGCUGUGAGAGAGCUUUGCGUCCCAUUAGCUAGUUGGAGAGGUAACGGCUCACCAAGGCGAUGAUGGGUAGCCGGCCUGAGAGGGUGAACGGCCACAAGGGGACUGAGACACGGCCCUUACUCCUACGGGAGGCAGCAGUGGGGAAUAUUGGACAAUGGACCAAGAGUCUGAUCCAGCAAUUCUGUGUGCACGAUGAAGUUUUUCGGAAUGUAAAGUGCUUUCAGUUGGGAAGAAAAAAAUGACGGUAUCAACAGAAGAAGUGACGGCUAAAUACGUGCCAGCAGCCGCGGUAAUACGUAUGUCACAAGCGUUAUCCGGAUUUAUUGGGCGUAAAGCGCGUCUAGGUGGUUAUAUAAGUCUGAUGUGAAGAUGCAGGGCUCAACUCUGUAUUGCGUUGGAAAACUGUGUAACUAGAGUAUGGAGAGGUAACCGGAACCACCACUGUAGAGGUGAGAUUUUUGAUAUUUUUUAA
rnacentral:rRNA from 1 species